ensembl:lncRNA
AUGCUCGAGCGCGGAAGGAAAUUGUAUGAUUGCAUGAUGGGCUACACUCUCAGAAAUAAAGGGAACAGGAGCUUCGUCCCUCAAAUGUGGACUUCCAGUCUUCUUGGGUCACCUGGACAAUUGGGUAUGGUGUGUUGUGUUCACCCUGAAGAAUACAGCAAAGUAGACAUGGGGCAAACAUGUGAAUGUUCACGGUGCAUUUUAUGCAAACAACUCUAAUCGUAGUUGUAACUCUAUAUUUACAGUAGGCAUAAUUGUCAUUGCGUAUGUGUAUGCAGCAUGAGUCAAAUACAAUCUUCUGUUCGUAAACAGUUGUAGUUCAUUCAUUAAUCUGACUAUGCAUCCGUGCAUUUAAUUGCCAUUCGCUCGUGUGAUAGUAAUAUGGAUCUUAGUAGUAUUUUAAGUAACAAUUGAUUCUAUAAACAACUAUAAAAAAAGAUACAUUUCGGCUUUCUCCGGCUCCCUGCACCGGGCUAAUGUCUAACCGCACACUCCCUGGUCCGAAAUCCAAAAUGGCGGCCACGUGCAACUAGUCUAUUCUAACGUACACAACAUAGCCGCCAUCUUCUAAUGUUAAACUGUGUUCCACAUGCACAAAUGGAAUCGAACAUCAUCCAACAUCUUAUAAAUAUACAAUACCCAUACACUAAACACUUAUAUAAUUGAUUAUCUACAUAGCUGCAGAACUAUUUGGGCAUCAACUUAACUUUAACUCAACUUUUCAGUUGAGUACGUUGGCUGUAUGAGGAACUCGAGCUAGCUAACGAUAGCUGUAGUCAACUCUAAGCUAGCUGGCAAACGUUAGCUAAAGCCACGUUCAGACUGCACGAUUUUAGCCCAGUUUUUGGCUCGCUGACAGGUUUUGAGGAAUCGCCGACAAAUGCCCGAAAUCACAGGCAAAUCGGUGCUCGUUCACACGAGUGACAAUCACGCAGUGUGAAUGAGCAAAGACACGAUCUGAGAGAAUCGCCGACGAGUCACCGACGCCCGUGAGAUAUUUGUCAUGCUAAAUAUCUGGACUUGUCGGCGAUUCAAAAUCAUGCUGUGUGAAAAGUGUUCUGAUUGAAAACUACGUCGGCGAUGACUGACAGCCAAUGAGAGAGCAAGAUACAGAGCAGCGGGGAGUUCGGGGAGGAGUUAU